GCCCUGGGAAGGGGAGGAGCGAGGAAGGGGAUGGGAUGGGCUAACCAGGGUCCAUCCCCUGCCUCUCUUCUCCCUUUCCUGGGGC
ensembl:miRNA tgu-mir-2962 tgu-mir-2962